rnacentral:rRNA from 1 species
AUUGAACGCUGGCGGCAUGCUUAACAUAUGCAAGUCGAACGGUAACAGGCCCUUCGGGGUGCUGACGAGUGGCGGACGGGUGAGUAAUACUUAGGAAUCUGCCUGGUUGUGGGGGAUAACCCGGGGAAACUCGGGCUAAUACCGCAUACGUCCCUCUGUCUUUGUGACAGGGGGGGAAAGGCGGGGACCGUUCGGCCUCGCGCUAUCAGAUGAGCCUAAGUCCGAUUAGCUAGUUGGUAGGGUAAUGCCUACCAAGGCGACGAUCGGUAGCUGGUCUGAGAGGACGACCAGCCACACUGGGACUGAGACACGGCCCAGACUCCGUACGGGAGGCAGCAGUGGGGAAUAUUGGACAAUGGGCGAAANCCUGAUCCAGCGAUGCCGCGUGUGUGAAGAAGGCC